rnacentral:rRNA from 1 species
UACGGAGGGUGCGAGCGUUGUCCGGAAUCACUGGGCGUAAAGGGCGCGUAGGCGGCGCGAGCAGUCGGCGGUGAAAGCUCGGGGCUCAACUCCGAGUCGGCCGUCGAUACUCUCGUGCUCGAGCACUGUAGAGGCAGAUGGAAUUCCGGGUGUAGCGGUGGGAAUGCGUAGAGAUCCGGAAGAACACGGUGGCGAAAGCGGCUCUCUGGCCCGGUUCUGACGCUGAGGCGCGAAAGCGUGGGGAGCAAACAGG